GUGUCCUACGGGAGGCAGCAGUGAGGAAUAUUGGUCAAUGGGCGCGAGCCUGAACCAGCCAAGUAGCGUGAAGGAUGACUGCCCUACGGGUUGUAAACUUCUUUUAUAAAGGAAUAAAGUGAGGCACGUGUGCCUUUUUGUAUGUACUUUAUGAAUAAGGAUCGGCUAACUCCGUGCCAGCAGCGGCGGUAAUACGGAGGAUCCGGGCGUUAUCCGGAUUUAUUGGGUUUAAAGGGGGCGUAGGUGGGUUGUUAAGUCAGUUGUG
rnacentral:rRNA from 1 species